ensembl:lncRNA
CUGUAUUUUAACGGGGAGAAGAAUCAUCUUCAGGCUGGGAAGAUCUUUCAGAAGUGUGGACAGUACAGCAGGGUACGAGAGCUGUGUGUGCUGUUUGUGUAGAUUCCUUCGUCCCACUUGGUUGCUCUUCCCUCUUUGCUCAUUUUCCCUAAGGGAUUCUUUCCUCAACUGACUGUGCUAAUUACAUCAGUCAUUAAAUGCUUAUUAAUGUAUUUGUAUCUGUCUGUCCACACACAGGCACCAAAGCACUUUUUGAAAUGUCCAAGUUCUGAUGACAGUUUGGCCAUAGAGAUGGCCAUUGAGACAGUAGGGGAAGCCAAGGAUGAAGCUCCAACCAAUCAGCUUAUUGAUUAUCUGAUGGGGAAAGUGACGGAAUGCCAAAGGUAUUGAAAACUUAACACAGAUCUUACAGCUGAAAAUGAAAAAUAAACUGUAUCACCUGGAAUUAAAUCAAAAAUUAAAUUAAGAUGGGAAUUUUGAGGCAUUUAAUACAUUAAUUUUAGUUUAAAUUUCAUUUUAGUUUGAUUAAAAAUUAAAAGAUUAUUUUAUAUAGCAACAUGCAAUAAAACCCACCAGCUCUGAGAAAUGUAACACAAGUCAACCAUGAUCAGAGGCUCUGAGCUAACGUAAUAACAGCGGCCCGGAUCAAGUUACACAAGCACUAAACAUAUAUGAUGGCCAUUAUGUAAGACCCACUAUUCCUUAACAUGCACAGUUAACAGGUGUUAAACAUGAUUACCUUUGUGACGAUGACACCCUGGCAACAGCACAAGCGCAGUCCCCGUUUCCAGCUGGUAUUAACACGCAUUUCGUGAAUCACAAAAAGGCCUGUUCAGUGAUAACAGUUUAACAAACUCAAGGUUGCGGGAUUUCGUUUCAAGUUUACCAAACCAAACCAUUCAGACUUUGCUUGUACCAUGACACUGAUCAAUUUUCUCAGUUGAAUAGGGCUUUGAACCCGUGCCGUGUUGUUCUUGCAGCGCCACAGUAAAGCGCGACAUCAGCACCUAACAGCCAAUCGCAUGCCUUAAAACAGAGGAAACCUAAUUAAAAUCUCACGAGACACUAAGCGCCAUUCAACUCUCAACUGAAGAUUAGAUUGACACCAAGUACACUGCCGUUAUUGUUAUUGUUACAUAAGAUUUCUAUUUUAAAUAUGUGCUGUUGUUUUAACUUUUUAUUUAUCAAAGAAUCCUGAAAAAGUAUCACUGGUUUCAAAAGAAAAAAUAUAUAAAUACAAAAAAUACAUAUACUAAGCAGCACAACUGUUUCCAACACUGAUAAUAAAUCAUCAUAUUGAAAAGAUUUCUGAAGGAUCAUGUGACACUGAAGAAAUGAUGCUGAAAAAUCAGCUUUGCAUCACAGAAUUUUUUUUUAUCAUAAAGUAUAUUAAAAUAGACACCCAUAUUUUUAAUUUCCAAUAAUAUUUCACAAUAUUACCCUUUUUCUGUAUGUUGGAUCAAAUAAAUGCAGCCUUUGAGAGCAGAACAUGAAAAUAGCCACCGACACGACGUAGUUCCACAAAAAGUUUUAUUUCUCCCGCUCCUCCAUGCGAGCAAAAACCAAACUGAACCAGAAAACAGUCUCGCAGACAGUCACCCAGACUCUAGCGAUAAUACAUUCCCUUGCACAUGAAGUUAACAAUCUCCCUCUCUUCUUUAAAUAAAAAAAAAGGAAUGAACGGGUGACUUUGACAUAUAAAACAUUGUCACCAAAUAAAAACAUUUUUAGAACACAGUAACAUUUAAGUGAGUUUGAGUAUUUAAACAAAAAAAACUGUACCAAGAUAAAUGCUCAAUGGACCAGAUAUUACAGUUUCCAUACACCCUCAUACAGCGCUUUAAGAAGCAUAAGUGAGGAAGCACCUUUCUUCGUCAAACAGUCAGCAAGUUGUGACUUGGCUUUUGACCAACGCACUUCUUUGAUUUUGUUAGCAUGUAUGAGCUCUUUGACACCGCUUAUUUCUAAUCUUAGUCUCUUCUCUGUGACCUGUUUUGUAGACUUAAGAGCGUCAAACAGGGAAUGGUUAUCAGUAACACAAAUAAGGGGGAGAGCAUUAAGAUCAGCUUUACCAGUGGUAAGCUCAG